ensembl:lncRNA
GCCGUGUGUUAGGGUUAGGGUUAGGGCCGUGUGUUAGGGUUAGGGCCGUGUGUUAGGGUUAGGGCCGUGUGUUAGGGUUAGGGCCGUGUGUUAGGGUUAGGGCCGUGUGUUAGGGUUAGGGCCGUGUGUUAGGGUUAGGGCCGUGUGUUAGGGUUAGGGUUAGGGCCGUGUGUUAGGGUUAGGGUUAGGGCCGUGUGUUAGGAUUAGGGCCGUGUGGUAGGGUUAGGGCCGUGUGUUAGGGUUAGGGCUGUGUGUUAGGGUUAGGGUUAGGGCUGUGUGUUAGGGUUAGGGCCGUGUGUUAGGGUUAGGGUUAGGGCCGUG